rnacentral:rRNA from 1 species
UACGGAGGGUGCGAGCGUUGUCCGGAAUCACUGGGCGUAAAGGGCGCGUAGGCGGCCUGAUAAGUAGGGGGGUGAAAUCCUGCGGCUUAACCGCAGGGCUGCCUUCUAAACUGUCAGGCUAGAGCACAGUAGAGGCAGGUGGAAUUCCCCGGUGUAGCGGUGGAAUGCGUAGAGAUCGGGAAGAACAUCAGUGGCGAAGGCGGCCUGCUGG